rnacentral:rRNA from 1 species
UGCCACUCUUAACGGGGUGGCUUUUCAGAAGUGUAAAAAGCUUCUGGAAUAAGGGCUGGGCAAGACCGGUGCCAGCCGCCGCGGUAACACCGGCAGCUCAAGUGGUAGCCGCUUUUAUUGGGCCUAAAGCGUCCGUAGCCGGUCUGAUAAGUCUCUGGUGAAAUCCCACAGCUUAACUGUGGGAAUUGCUGGAGAUACUAUCAUGACUCGAGGUCGGGAGAGGCUGGAGGUACUCCCAGGGUAGGGGUGAAAUCCUGUAAUCCUGGGAGGACCACCUGUGGCGAAGGCGUCCAGCUGGAACGAACCUGACGGUGAGGGACGAAAGCCAGGGGCGCGAAUCGGAUUAGAUACCCGGGUAGUCCUGGCCGUAAACGAUGUGGACUUGGUGUUGAGAUGGCUUCGAGCUGCCCCAGUGCCGAAGGGAAGCUGUUAAGUCCACCGCCUGGGAAGUACGGCCGCA